UAACGCGAAGAACCUUACCAGGUCUUGACAUCCUUUGAAGCUUUUAGAGAUAGAAGUGUUCUCUUCGGAGACAAAGUGACAGGUGGUGCAUGGUUGUCGUCAGCUCGUGUCGUGAGAUGUUGGGUUAAGUCCCGCAACGAGCGCAACCCUUAUUAUCAGUUGCCAGCAUUAAGUUGGGCACUCUGGUGAGACUGCCGGUGACAAACCGGAGGAAGGUGGGGAUGACGUCAAAUCAUCAUGCCCCUUAUGACCUGGGCUACACACGUGCUACAAUGGAUGGUACAACGAGUUGCGAACUCGCGAGAGUAAGCUAAUCUCUUAAAGCCAUUCUCAGUUCGGAUUGUAGGCUGCAACUCGCCUACAUGAAGUCGGAAUCGCUAGUAAUCGCGGAUCAGC
rnacentral:rRNA from 1 species